rnacentral:piRNA from 1 species
UGCAGAGCGGUACCACGGGUGUGU